rnacentral:rRNA from 1 species
UCGAACGGUAGCACRAAGGAGCUUGCUCCUUGGGUGACGAGUGGCGGACGGGUGAGUAAUGCUUGGGAAUCUGGCUUAUGGAGGGGGAUAACUACGGGAAACUGUAGCUAAUACCGCGUAAUAUCUUCGGAUUAAAGUGUGGGACCUUCGGGCCACAUGCCAUGAGAUGAGCCCAAGUGGGAUUAGGUAGUUGGUGGGGUAAAGGCCUACCAAGCCGACGAUCUCUAGCUGGUCUGAGAGGAUGACCAGCCACACUGGAACUGAGACACGGUCCAGACUCCUACGGGAGGCAGCAGUGGGGAAUAUUGCACAAUGGGGGGAACCCUGAUGCAGCCAUGCCGCGUGAAUGAAGAAGGCCUUCGGGUUGUAAAGUUCUUUCGGUGAUGAGGAAGGUGGAUGUUUUAAUAGAACAUUCAAUUGACGUUAGUCACAGAA